rnacentral:rRNA from 1 species
GAUGAACGCUGGCGGCGUGCCUAAUACAUGCAAGUCGAGCGAACGGACGAGAAGCUUGCUUUUCUGAUGUUAGCGGCGGACGGGUGAGUAACACGUGGAUAACCUACCUAUAAGACUGGGAUAACUUCGGGAAACCGGAGCUAAUACCGGAUAAUAUUUUGAACCGCAUGGUUCAAAAGUGAAAGACGGUCUUGCUGUCACUUAUAGAUGGAUCCGCGCUGCAUUAGCUAGUUGGUAAGGUAACGGCUUACCAAGGCAACGAUGCAUAGCCGACCUGAGAGGGUGAUCGGCCACACUGGAACUGAGACACGGUCCAGACUCCUACGGGAGGCAGCAGUAGGGAAUCUUCCGCAAUGGGCGAAAGCCUGACGGAGCAACGCCGCGUGAGUGAUGAAGGUCUUCGGAUCGUAAAACUCUGUUAUUAGGGAAGAACAUAUGUGUAAGUAACUGUGCACAUCUCGACGGUACCUAAUCAGAAAGCCACGGCUAACUACGUGCCAGCAGCCGCGGUAAUACGUAGGUGGCAAGCGUUAUCCGGAAUUAUUGGGCGUAAAGCGCGCGUAGGCGGUUUUUUAAGUCUGAUGUGAAAGCCCACGGCUCAACCGUGGAGGGUCAUUGGAAACUGGAAAACUUGAGUGCAGAAGAGGAAAGUGGAAUUCCAUGUGUAGCGGUGAAAUGCGCAGAGAUGUGGAGGAACACCAGUGGCGAAGGCGACUUUCUGGUCUGUAACUGACGCUGAUGUGCGAAAGCGUGGGGAUCAAACAGGAUUAGAUACCCUGGUAGUCCACGCCGUAAACGAUGAGUGCUAAGUGUUAGGGGGUUUCCGCCCCUUAGUGCUGCAGCUAACGCAUUAAGCACUCCGCCUGGGGAGUACGACCGCAAGGUUGAAACUCAAAGGAAUUGACGGGGGCCCGCACAAGCGGUGGAGCAUGUGGUUUAAUUCGAAGCAACGCGAAGAACCUUACCAAAUCUUGACAUCCUUUGACAACUCUAGAGAUAGAGCCUUCCCCUUCGGGGGACAAAGUGACAGGUGGUGCAUGGUUGUCGUCAGCUCGUGUCGUGAGAUGUUGGGUUAAGUCCCGCAACGAGCGCAACCCUUAAGCUUAGUUGCCAUCAUUAAGUUGGGCACUCUAAGUUGACUGCCGGUGACAAACCGGAGGAAGGUGGGGAUGACGUCAAAUCAUCAUGCCCCUUAUGAUUUGGGCUACACACGUGCUACAAUGGACAAUACAAAGGGCAGCGAAACCGCGAGGUCAAGCAAAUCCCAUAAAGUUGUUCUCAGUUCGGAUUGUAGUCUGCAACUCGACUACAUGAAGCUGGAAUCGCUAGUAAUCGUAGAUCAGCAUGCUACGGUGAAUACGUUCCCGGGUCU